UACGGAGGGAGCUAGCGUUGUUCGGAAUUACUGGGCGUAAAGCGCACGUAGGCGGCUAUUCAAGUCAGAGGUGAAAGCCCGGGGCUCAACCCCGGAACUGCCUUUGAAACUAGAUAGCUAGAAUCUUGGAGAGGUCAGUGGAAUUCCGAGUGUAGAGGUGAAAUUCGUAGAUAUUCGGAAGAACACCAGUGGCGAAGGCGACUGACUGGACAAGUAUUGACGCUGAGGAGCGAAAGCGUGGGGAGCGAACAGG
rnacentral:rRNA from 1 species